rnacentral:lncRNA from 1 species
AUAAUACUAUGUGGACAUGCACAUAAUAGAUUCUUGACAGAGACCCUGGAAAUAAAUUCAUGGGUGAGCUACACAGCAGAAUCACACACAAUUAAUUAAGGCUGGAGAUCGAAUUGAGGUUCAGGUCAUAGGGACAAACGAGAAAGUCAUGGUUGAAGCUGUUGGAUUAAACAUGGACUGGUAUUCUGAGUAAACAUCAGAGCCAAGAUCUUUGAAUUGAGUUUAGAUCUCAAGUCUGAUAUUUUUUUUUUCUUUGUGUGUGUGAGAGAAAGAGAGAUAAUUCCAGAGGAACGACAUCCAGCGUAG